rnacentral:rRNA from 1 species
CCUACGGGAGGCAGCAGUGAGGAAUAUUGGUCAAUGGGCGAGAGCCUGAACCAGCCAAGUCGCGUGAGGGAGUACUGCCCUAUGGGUUGUAAACCUCUUUUGUCGGGGAGCAAAAGCCGGACGUGUCCGGCUGUGAGAGUACCCGAAGAAAAAGCAUCGGCUAACUCCGUGCCAGCAGCCGCGGUACUACGGAGGAUGCGAGCGUUAUCCGGAUUUAUUGGGUUUAAAGGGUGCGCAGGCGGAUUUUUAAGUCAGCGGUAAAAUCGUGGGGCUCAACCCCAUCCAGCCGUUGAAACUGGGGAUCUAGAGUGUGCGAGAGGUAUGCGGAAUGCGUGGUGUAGCGGUGAAAUGCAUAGAUAUCACGCAGAACCCCGAUUGCGAAGGCAGCAUACCGGUGCACAACUGACGCUCAGGCACGAAAGCGUGGGUAUCGAACAGGAUUAGAUACCCUAGUAGUC